rnacentral:rRNA from 1 species
UACGGAGGGGGCGAGCGUUAUUCGGAAUUAUUGGGCGUAAAGGGCGCGUAGGCGGCUCUAUAAGUCAAAGGUGAAAUCCCUCGGCUCAACUGAGGAACUGCCUUUGAAACUGUUGGGUUUGAGGCCGGGAGAGGGUAGUGGAAUUCCCAGUGUAGCGGUGAAAUGCGUAGAUACUGGGAGGAACACCAGUGGCGAAGGCGGCUACCUGGACCGGUUCUGACGCUGAGGCGCGAAAGCGUGGGUAGCAAACAGG